UGGGGAAUAUUGGACAAUGGGCGCAAGCCUGAUCCAGCCAUGCCGCGUGAGUGAUGAAGGCCCUAGGGUUGUAAAGCUCUUUCACCGGUGAAGAUAAUGACGGUAACCGGAGAAGAAGCCCCGGCUAACUUCGUGCCAGCAGCCGCGGUAAUACGAAGGGGGCUAGCGUUGUUCGGAUUUACUGGGCGUAAAGCGCACGUAGGCGGACUAUUAAGUCAGGGGUGAAAUCCCGGGGCUCAACCCCGGAACUGCCUUUGAUACUGGUAGUCUUGAGUUCGAGAGAGGUGGGUGGAAUUCCGCGUGUAGAGGUGAAAUUCGUAGAUAUUCGGAGGAACACCAGUGGCGAAGGCGGCUCACUGGCUCGAUACUGACGCUGAGGUGCGAAAGCGUGGGGAGCAAACAGG
rnacentral:rRNA from 1 species